rnacentral:rRNA from 1 species
GACGAACGCUGGCGGCGUGCCUAAUACAUGCAAGUCGAACGCACUCUCGUUUAGAUUGAAGGAGCUUGCUCCUGAUUGAUAAACAUUUGAGUGAGUGGCGGACGGGUGAGUAACACGUGGGUAACCUGCCCUAAAGUGGGGGAUAACAUUUGGAAACAGAUGCUAAUACCGCAUAAAACCUAACACCGCAUGGUGUAGGGUUGAAAGAUGGUUUCGGCUAUCACUUUAGGAUGGACCCGCGGUGCAUUAGUUAGUUGGUGAGGUAAAGGCUCACCAAGACCGUGAUGCAUAGCCGACCUGAGAGGGUAAUCGGCCACACUGGGACUGAGACACGGCCCAGACUCCUACGGGAGGCAGCAGUAGGGAAUCUUCCACAAUGGACGAAAGUCUGAUGGAGCAACGCCGCGUGAGUGAAGAAGGUUUCGGAUCGUAAAACUCUGUUGUUGGAGAAGAAUG